rnacentral:rRNA from 1 species
AUAACUUAUGAUGGGAGAGCAAAUCCGCCGAAUUUAAGCAUAUAAUUAAGCGGAAGAAAAGAAAAUAACAAUGAUUCCCUAAGUAACGGCGAGUGAACAGGGAAAAGCUCAAAAAGGAAAAUCCUAUUCAUGGCGCAAGUCAUGUUAUGGAAUUGUCUGGUUGGAGUUUCGUCCUUUUCUAUAUUUAUGUUGGAUUGCGAAAUGAGUAGGAAUACUAUUCCUUAGAGGGUGAAAGACCCGUAGCCCCCCACAAUUGUAGAAAAUGAUGAUUCUCUGUAGAGUCGUGUUCUUUGAGAUUGGAGCACAAAUAUGUGUGAUACAUUUCACAUAAAGCUAAAUAUUUGUAGGAAACCGAUAGUAUACAAGUACCGUGAGGGAAAGAUGAAAUAGUACUCAGGAAUGAGGUUUAAAUAGUACCUGAAAUCGUUAAGAUGGAACGGAUUAAGAGAGAAAUAACGUAAGAUGGGAUUAAUUAUUAGCUCUUUAGGGAGCGUUUUUUAAUUCCUAUUUUAUUAAAAGAAGCAUCAGUGAAUGUUGAAUAAUUAAAAUAUAGUUAAGUAUUCUUUACAAAUAUAAAUAUGUGCGUAAAAAUGCCGUAUCACUUCCGCUAAAUUGGUUGGAUAACGAGCUAUUUUUGAUUAUUCUGUUUACUGAGGUUUAUUAAAAUCAUUGUGGCCUUUGUCCCUAUUGAUUUAAGUUGCUUCUAAAAAGCACUUUCUUAACCCACUCGUCUUGAAACACGGACCAAGGAGUCUAACAAAUGUGCGAGCGUAUAUAUGUUUUUAACUAUAAUAAAAGAAUGAAAAUUCUUUAAUAUUUACGCGUAAUUAAUGUAAUAUAUUAAACUUACAUUGUAGAAUGUACUGAAAUUGAAUAAUAUUUAUUUUUCAUUUGAAGUAUAUGCAUACAAUACCGGUUAGCAAAUAUGCUAAAUUGAGUAAGAGUAUAUUUGUUAGGACCCGAGAGGCUUUGAACUAAGCGUGGUGAGAUUGAAGUCAGACGAAAGUCUGAUGGAGGAUCG